rnacentral:rRNA from 1 species
UACAGAGGGGGCAAGCGUUGUUCGGAAUUACUGGGCGUAAAGGGCGCGUAGGCGGCCCGCUAAGUCGAGCGUGAAAUCCCCGAGCUCAACUCGGGAACUGCGUCCGAUACUGGCGGGCUUGAAUCCGGGAGAGGGAUGCGGAAUUCCAGGUGUAGCGGUGAAAUGCGUAGAUAUCUGGAGGAACACCGGUGGCGAAGGCGGCAUCCUGGACCGGUAUUGACGCUGAGGCGCGAAAGCUAGGGGAGCAAACGGG